GUGCCAGCAGCCGCGGUAAUACCGGCAGCCCGAGUGAUGGCCGAUAUUAUUGGGCCUAAAGCGUCCGUAGCUGGCCGCGCAAGUCCAUCGGGAAGUCCACCCGCCCAACGAGUGGGCGUCCGACGGAAACUGCACAGCUUGGGACCGGAAGGCUCGAAGGGUACGUUCGGGGUAGGAGUGAAGUCCCAUAAUCCCGCACGGACCACCGAUGGCGAAAACACUUCGAGAAAACGGAUCCGACAGUGAGGGACGAAAGCCAGGGUCUCCAACCGGAUUAGAUACCCCGGUAGUCC
rnacentral:rRNA from 1 species